rnacentral:tRNA from 1 species
GAAUAAAAAGCGAAAAUUUGCUAUCGGUUUCGACCCGGUCUUUGGUUACUUAACCUUUAUUCU